GUUUGAUCAUGGCUCAGAACGAACGCUGGCGGCGUGGCUAAGACAUGCAAGUCGAACGGACCAUCGAAUUGAGUAAUCGAGACGGUGGUUAGUGGCGAAAGGGUUAGUAACGGAUAGGUAACGUGCCUUGAGCUUUGGGAUAGCGUCAGUUGCUUCGGCAACUUUCCGAAAGGGGCGGUAAUACCAAAUAAUAUCAGUCGUCGAUGGGCGAUUGAUCAAAGAUUUAUCGGCGCAAGAGCGGCCUAUCUCCUAUCAGCUUGUUGGUGAGGUAAAAGCUCACCAAGGCUAUGACGGGUAGCGGGACUGAGAGGUUGACCCGCAACAUCGGGACUGAGACACUGCCCGGACCUCCACGGAGGGCUGCAGUAACGAAUAUUGCGCAAUGGGCGAAAGCCUGACGCAGCGACGCCGCGUGUAGGAUGAAGUCCCUCGGGAUGUAAACUACUGUCAGGGGGAAGAAAGUGCGCUUCGGCGCAUUGAUCUAACCCAGAGGAAGUCACGGCUAACUUCGUGCCAGCAGCCGCGGUAAGACGAAGGUGGCUAGCGUUGUUCGGUGUCACUGGGCUUAAAGCGUGUGUAGGCGGAAUAGCAAGCGUCUUGUGAAAUCCCUCAGCUUAACUGAGGAAUUGCUUGGCGAACUGCUUUUCUUGAGGUAGGUAGGGGUGCAUGGAACUCUUGGUGGAGCGGUGGAAUGCGUAGAUAUCAAGAGGAACGCCAGUGGUGAAGACGGUGCACUGGGCCUGCCCUGACGCUGAGACACGAAAGCGUGGGGAGCAAACGGGAUUAGAUACCCCGGUAGUCCACGCUGUAAACAAUGUCUACUAGAUUGCGGAAGUUCUGACGCUGUCGCGAUCGAAGCAAAAGUGUUAAGUAGACCGCC
rnacentral:rRNA from 1 species